GAUCUCCUACGGGAGGCAGCAGUGGGGAAUCUUGGACAAUGGGGGCAACCCUGAUCCAGCCAUGCCGCGUGAGUGAUGAAGGCCUUAGGGUCGUAAAGCUCUUUCGCCUGUGAUGAUAAUGACAGUAGCAGGUAAAGAAACCCCGGCUAACUCCGUGCCAGCAGCCGCGGUAAUACGGAGGGGGUUAGCGUUGUUCGGAAUUACUGGGCGUAAAGCGCGCGUAGGCGGAUUAGUCAGUUAGAGGUGAAAUCCCAGGGCUCAACCCUGGAACUGCCUUUAAUACUGCUAGUCUUGAGUUCGAGAGAGGUGAGUGGAAUUCCGAGUGUAGAGGUGAAAUUCGUAGAUAUUCGGAGGAACACCAGUGGCGAARGCGACA
rnacentral:rRNA from 1 species